rnacentral:rRNA from 1 species
CAAGUCGAGCGAGAAGGCAAUCAAAGUUUACUUUGGUUUCCGGAAAGCGGCGAAAGGGAGAGUAACGAGUAGUUAUCUACCCCAAGGCCCGGAAUAGCUGCGGGAAACUGCAGGUAAUGCCGGAUAAUAUCCCCGGAUCAAAGGUGUGAUUCCGCCUUGGGAGGAGACUGCUUUGUACUAGCUUGUUGGUAGGGUAAUGGCCUACCAAGGCUACGAUGCAUAGCGGGCGUGAGAGCGUGGCCCGUCUCACUGGGACUGAAACACUGCCCAGACACCUACGGGUGGCUGCAGUCGAGAAUCUUCGGCAAUGGGCGAAAGCCUGACCGAGCGAUGCCGCGUGCGGGAUGAAGGCCCUCGGGUUGUAAACCGCUGUCGUAGAGGAGAAAGGUCUCGUGAAGAGCGAGAUUUGAUCUAUUCUAGGAGGAAGUCGGGGCUAAGUUCGUGCCAGCAGCCGCGGUAACACGAACCCGACAAACGUUAUUCGGAAUUAUUGGGCUUAAAGGGUGCGUAGGCGGUGCGGUAAGUGCGGUGUGAAAUCCCUCGGCUCAACCGAGGAAUUGCGCUGCAUACUGCCGUGCUAGAGGGAGACAGGGGUAAGCGGAACUGAUGGUGGAGCGGUGAAAUGCGUUGAUAUCAUCAGGAACACCGGUGGCGAAAGCGGCUUACUGGGUCUCUUCUGACGCUGAGGCACGAAAGCUAGGGUAGCGAACGGGAUUAGAUACCCCGGUAGUCCUAGCCGUAAACGAUGAGCACUU